UGGGGAAUAUUGCACAAUGGGCGAAAGCCUGAUGCAGCGACGCCGCGUGAGGGAUGACGGCCUUCGGGUUGUAAACCUCUUUCGACAGGGACGAAGCGCAAGUGGCGGUACCUGUAGAAGAAGCACCGGCCAACUACGUGCCAGCAGCCGCGGUAAUACGUAGGGUGCGAGCGUUGUCCGGAAUUACUGGGCGUAAAGAGCUUGUAGGCGGUUUGUCGCGUCGUCUGUGAAAACUCACAGCUCAACUGUGAGCUUGCAGGCGAUACGGGCAGACUUGAGUACUGCAGGGGAGACUGGAAUUCCUGGUGUAGCGGUGAAAUGCGCAGAUAUCAGGAGGAACACCGGUGGCGAAGGCGGGUCUCUGGGCAGUAACUGACGCUGAGAAGCGAAAGCGUGGGUAGCGAACAGGAUUAGAUACCCUGGUAGUCCACGCCGUAACGGUGGGUACUAGGUGUGGGUUUCCUUCCACGGGAUCCGUGCCGUAGCUAACGCAUUAAGUACCCCGCCUNGGGGGGNNNGGGNCGCAAGGCU
rnacentral:rRNA from 1 species